rnacentral:rRNA from 1 species
UGCCAGCAGCCGCGGUAAUACGGAGGGGGUUAGCGUUGUUCGGAAUUACUGGGCGUAAAGCGCACGUAGGCGGAUUGGAAAGUUGGGGGUGAAAUCCCGGGGCUCAACCCCGGAACUGCCUCCAAAACUAUCAGUCUAGAGUUCGAGAGAGGUGAGUGGAACUCCGAGUGUAGAGGUGGAACUUCGUAGAUAUUCGGAAGAACACCAGUUGCGAAGGCGGCUCACUUGAUCGAUACUGACGCUGAUGUGCGAAAGUUUGGAGAGCAAACAUGAUUAGAUA